AAAAACUUUGGAGGAUUUUGCUUUGAACAUUAGUAGCAUGAACUCUAGCGCACUGGUGCAGCCAAACCUAGUGGUGCAAUGCGUCAAGUUGUCAAACUGGACCCCACAAGUGCAAUUCUUCGCUCAAACAGGACUGUCAGGGAAAUUUACCCCUGAAGGAAUAAGUAUGGGUACAGACGGUGCAGACGCUGCUAACAUGACAUCCUCUUCAAGACGUCCCGUUGAUCUCCUGUUAGCUCUCAAACUGCAAAAUGAUUCCCAGAAAGAUUGGGGGAACAGAAAUCUAAGCAUUGGAGUGGUGCUUUAUGAAAAUGACCUUUUUUUCAACUCAAAACACUUUAAUAGCCAACUAGAUACUGAAAGAAGAGUGGUCUCGGCCAGCCUCACAGACAAACGCUUGCUUGAUAAAGUGGAGUUUACCAUCAGG